UCUUAUCAAGAGAAGCCGAGGGACUGGCCCGUCGACGCUUCAGCAACCAGCCAUUUAUGGUCAGGUGCUAAUUCCAGCAGGUGUAAACCUGGUAGAUAAGG
rnacentral:ncRNA from 1 species